GACGGUGAAGGUCCGGUGGUCGAG
rnacentral:siRNA from 1 species